UAAAUAAAUUUCUACUGGAAAGCACCGUGGAAAGAUAUGGGAUGCAAAUACCAAGCUUGCUUAACACAGGACAGGAAUGGUGCAUAUAAGCAUGGGGCUUUCUCAGGUGAAUGCACUUUUAACAUCAUUAAAUAUCCCCCCAAUCAGUUUUUGGACUCUGCAAAACAGACAACAUGAAACAGGACCAGUUCUGGAGAAUACUACAGUAGAAAGUACCAGAAGCAGCCUUCAUGAUGAAAUUCAGGCAACUGAAUUAAAGGUACAGUCAAGCUAACAGUCAGUGUUGAUGCAGGUUGGCAGAAACCAGGCAAUGGGCCAUCCUUUGAUAGCCUCUCUGGUCAUUGCUCCAUGACUGAAUCUCAGACAGGCAAAGUCAUUGAUUAUGAAAUCAGAACUAAAUGUUGCACAAUAUAUGAGAAUGCUAUUAG